GUAGCUGUAGUUUUGGUAAUGCGUCCGUGUACAGAAUGGAAAUUGUGGGUUCAAGUCCCACCAGCAACA
rnacentral:tRNA from 1 species